rnacentral:rRNA from 1 species
GAUAACUAAUGUGAAUUGCAGAAUUCAGUGAAUCAUCGAGUUUUUGAACGCACCUUGCGCUCCUUGGCAUUCCUUGGAGCAUGCCUGUUUGAGUGUCAU